rnacentral:rRNA from 1 species
UACGAAGGGGGCUAGCGUUGCUCGGAAUUACUGGGCGUAAAGGGCGCGUAGGCGGACAUUUAAGUCAGGGGUGAAAUCCCAGAGCUCAACUCUGGAACUGCCUUUGAUACUGGAUGUCUUGAGUGUGAGAGAGGUAUGUGGAACUCCGAGUGUAGAGGUGAAAUUCGUAGAUAUUCGCAAGAACACCAGUGGCGAAGGCGGCUCACUGGCCCGAUACUGACGCUGAGGCACGAAAGCGUGGGGAGCAAACAGG